UACCUUCUGUUUUAUUUUAAAGCCCCACCUUUCCCCACUGCACAAAGUCACACACACAAUUAGUACUGCACUGACCAUAGGACUGGCAAAAUUCUACACCAAGAAGCUAUCCUUGGCUCAAAAUGAGCUCAUGCAUGAGCAUGGCACACCAAAAACCUCAAUGUGUGCUUCAACCAUGCUAGUCCGCUUUGCUGUUGUGUUGUUUUGUAUUUUCCCGCAGGCAGAAACCAGGUUUUGACCCACUUCUUCUCCAUCCCUCUACUGCUUUCUUUAAAGAUUCAAAAUGAGUCUCAGUGAGGCCUCAGAGGUCAUCACAGAUAGGAAAUUCUCCAAUAAGGUCAACACGACAAGGACAUCUGCAGUGAUCUUUCUACAGGCUCUGCCAACUUGGCACUC
rnacentral:lncRNA from 1 species